AUUCCAGCUCCAAUAGCGUAUAUUAAAGUUGUUGCAGUUAAAAAGCUCGUAGUUGGAUUUCUGGUUGAAGCGACCGGUCGGGCGUUGAUUCGUCUGCACUGGAGUCGGUUUUGGCCAUCCUCUAGGAAAGUGCGUCUGGUAUUAAGUUGUCGGGCGUAUGAUCCUGGUCUUUUACUGUGAAAAAAUUAGAGUGUUUAAAGCAGGCCUUCGCCUUGAAUACAUUAGCAUGGAAUAAUAAGAUAGGACUUUGGUCUAUUUUGUUGGUUUGCAGACCGAAGUAAUGAUUAAUAGGGAUAGUUGGGGGUAUUUAUAUUCCGAUGUCAGAGGUGAAAUUCUUAGAUUUUCGGAAGAUAAACUUAUGCGAAAGCAUUUACCAAGGAUGUUUUCAUCG
rnacentral:rRNA from 1 species